rnacentral:rRNA from 1 species
GAGUUUGAUCUUGGCUCAGAGUGAACGCUGGCGGCAGGCCUAACACAUGCAAGUCGAACGGCAGCACAGAGGAGCUUGCUCCUUGGGUGGCGAGUGGCGGACGGGUGAGGAAUACAUCGGAAUCUACCUUGUCGUGGGGGAUAACGUAGGGAAACUUACGCUAAUACCGCAUACGACCUACGGGUGAAAGCGGAGGACCGCAAGGCUUCGCGCGAUAAGAUGAGCCGAUGUCGGAUUAGCUAGUUGGCGGGGUAAAGGCCCACCAAGGCGACGAUCCGUAGCUGGUCUGAGAGGAUGAUCAGCCACACUGGAACUGAGACACGGUCCAGACUCCUACGGGAGGCAGCAGUGGGGAAUAUUGGACAAUGGGCGCAAGCCUGAUCCAGCCAUGCCGCGUGGGUGAAGAAGGCCU